AGUGAACGCUGGCGGUAGGCCUAACACAUGCAAGUCGAACGGCAGCACAGUAAGAGCUUGCUCUUACGGGUGGCGAGUGGCGGACGGGUGAGGAAUACAUCGGAAUCUACUUUUUCGUGGGGAUAACGUAGGGAAACUUACGCUAAUACCGCAUACGACCUACGGGUGAAAGCAGGGGAUCUUCGGACCUUGCGCGAUUGAAUGAGCCGAUGUCGGAUUAGCUAGUUGGCGGGGUAAAGGCCCACCAAGGCGACGAUCCGUAGCUGGUCUGAGAGGAUGAGCAGCCACACUGGAACUGAGACACGGUCCAGACUCCUACGGGAGGCAGCAGUGGGGAAUAUUGGACAAUGGGCGCAAGCCUGAUCCAGCCAUACCGCGUGGGUGAAGAAGGCCUUCGGGUUGUAAAGCCCUUUUGUUGGGAAAGAAAAGCAGCAGGUUAAUACCCCGCUGUUCUGACGGUACCCAAAGAAUAAGCACCGGCUAACUUCGUG
rnacentral:rRNA from 1 species